GGAAUAUUGGGCAAUGGACGCAAGUCUGACCCAGCCAUGCCGCGUGCAGGAUGACGGCCCUAUGGGUUGUAAACUGCUUUUAUACGGGAAGAAACCCCUCUACGUGUAGAGGGCUGACGGUACUGUAAGAAUAAGGAUCGGCUAACUCCGUCCCAGCAGCCGCGGUAAUACGGAGGAUCCAAGCGUUGUCCGGAUUUAUUGGGUUUAAAGGGUGCGUAGGCGGAUUAUUAAGUCAGUGGUGAAAGCCUGCAGCUUAACUGUAGAAUUGCCAUUGAAACUGAUAAUCUUGAGUGUGGUUGAGGUGGAUGGAAUGUGUCAUGUAGCGGUGAAAUGCUUAGAUAUGAUACAGAACACCGAUUGCGAAGGCAGUUCACUAAACCAUAACUGACGCUGAGGCACGAAAGCAUGGGGAGCAAAC
rnacentral:rRNA from 1 species